rnacentral:rRNA from 1 species
CACGUAGGCACCAAGCGUUGUCCGGAUUUAUUGGGCGUAAAGAGCUCGUAGGCGGUUCAGUAAGUCGGGUGUGAAAACUUUGGGCUUAACCCAAAGCGUGCAUCCGAUACUGCUAUGACUUGAGUUCGGUAGGGGAGUGGGGAAUUCCUAGUGUAGCGGUGAAAUGCGCAGAUAUUAGGAGGAACACCGGUGGCGAAGGCGCCACUCUGGGCCGAAACUGACGCUGAGGAGCGAAAGCAUGGGUAGCAAACAGG